AAUAGCAGCCCCUUUGAAGCAGUCUGCUUGCAAAAUCAAAAAGAGCCAUUUAGAAAAUGCUCUAUAAAACUUAAGUUUCAAAACCACUAUCUGGACAUUGUUGGCUGCCAUUUGGUGUUCCAAGAUUCUGAGUGUUACUUUCCAAUACUGUCCUGCAGUCAGUCCUACCUCUUCAGUGGCUGCUUCCUGCCAGAUGUAACCUGUGAUCAUGGAUACGUUGUUCAUGUAAUUUUUUUGAUGACUAGUAUUCUAUUGCAAGAGCAUAUCACAAUUUCUUUAUCCACUCUCUUGGAAUUUGGAGUUGUUUGUGGGUUUGGUUUAUUAUGAAUAAAGCUGCUCUAAACAUUCUA